ACUGAACUUGCAAGUAAAAACCGGCUGCUUCACGUUUCCAUUAACUUGAAAAACUUGUGGACUACACUCAGGUUCUCCAUCAAACUGAAACACAAAUCUCGGGUCAGGUUCAGCUCUGACGUUUAAAUUCAAUUCAGCAGUAGACCCACAACCAACAGAAACCCAUCCAUUGUGAAUCACAAAUCCUCUAUGUCCAAUAUUCUCCAAGCUCUUCAAAUCCAAUGGCACCACAACACUCCCCAAAAGCCUCUUACUACCAUACCCAAACCCCACUUUACCCCCAUAAAUCUCAAUCUUUAAACAGCUAGGGUUUCCUCUAACAUUCGAUUUCUCAACAAAUUUCACAAGCUCCGACUUACUAAAAUUAAAACAACCAUGAAUCCUAUUAUCCAGGAUCACUUCUCUUUCUUGAACAAACGCCGAGAUAGUCGAUGAUUGCGCCGAACAACCUCUCAGCUUGAUUUUACAAUCAAAAGUUGAAUUAUUCGGAAGAAUUUUCGACGAUUCAGAAGGGAACUUCAAGGCUAAACCUCCGAUUACAAUACGGACGAACGGACAUGGAUCCAUUAGUCCUUUAAUUUACUCAGAAGAAGAGGAGGAAUCUGGGAAUUUUAUAGAAGAAAGCGGAGAUUUGAGGGGUAAGAAUAUAUAUUAAGAAAUGUGCAUAGGCGUGCGUGCGGGAUGAGCUGUGGGCACGUAUGCAUAUAGAGGUGCGCCAGCAAAGAGCAUCUC
rnacentral:misc_RNA from 1 species